rnacentral:lncRNA from 1 species
AUUCCGUCUUUCUAGUGUUGGGUCCUCAUCAUGAGUGCGAGCCUAUGGAUGUAGAUGGUACCAGUGUGGGGACUUGUUUCCUAAUGUCACGUAGGGCAGACAGAAGACUGCAUUUUCCAGCCUCUCCCUGGCUGGGUGUGGCUGUGUGUUUAGUUCCAGGCAUUGGGCAGGGAAAAGAAGUGAUGUGUGCACCCUCAGGCCAAAGCACUCUGCAGGAAAAUAGAGUUUUAACCCCUGCCAUUGUUCAGCUCAUUUUCUCAGAGGUCACAGCCCAUUCUGCGGGUGUCAAUACCAUGGAAUUCCAGAAUUAAAAUGAAUACUCAGUUGAAUAAUAAAAUUAUACGAGCUACUUGAUUGCUUCUAGAAUCCCGAUGAUCGGCUGGUUCAUUUGUGUGACUUUAUUGAACAUUUGACAAGAACAUUGAUAAUAAAUGAGGGCUCCUGUUCCAGUGGCCUCACUGCUUUCUAAUAGCCUUCACUGGCUUACUGGCUGUACCACAUUUCUGGUGCUCAAUGAUGAAGAACAAGUCACCAGCCAUCUGGGUCUCAGUUGUCUCAUCUGUAAGGAUGAAGGCAAAGUGUAAUUUGUAAAAACAAACAGUUAAGCAUGUGUACAUCCUGGAGAGCGAGAUCCUGGUGAGAAGCAGGAUGGAUUCCACUGAUGCAGAAAGAGUGGCCUGGAGGAGCCUGAAAGGGGUGAUUCAGAGCCAGCACGGAGUCCCCAGGCUAGCCCCUCAAUGAGGAAGGCCUGGAGGAUGAACGCACUCACAGCUGUGGCUUCUUCACAAUUGAUUGGGAAACCUCUACUCCUGAGGGCCUCUACCCAGUGACCACUUCGUUAGCCAUCCGUGCUACAGUACAUCUUCCAGGACACAUGAGAUGCUCUGUUGGAGAACAUGGUCUUCACUUAGCAGAAGCAGAAGAGGCAUCAAAAUAAGCCAUUCUCACACUGAUUCUUCAUCACUGGGGAUUUGGCGCCUUUUCACUGUUUAUUUUAAUAUAACUGACAACCUUUGUAGUCAAUUUGGUAUCAUUCAUAUCCUGAAAUAUCAUAGACCUGUCUGUAUCUGAUUUGCAAAGUACAGUAAGCAGAAUAAUGCAAUGAAAGUUAUGAUGCUUUAUCUUAAG